GCGGAGGAAAAGAAAAUAACAAUGAUUUCCCUAGUAACGGCGAGUGAAGAGGAAAAAGCUCAAAGUUGGAAUCCGGUUGCCCUAGGUAAUUGGAGUUGUAAACUGGAGAGGCGUUUUCCAGGCAAACCAAGCAAAUAAGUCCUUUGGAACAGGGCAUCAUAGAGGGUGAGAAUCCCGUCUUUGGCUUGAGUAUUGUCUUUUGUGAUACGCUUUCAAAGAGUCAGGUUGUUUGGGAAUGCAGCCUAAAUUGGGUGGUAAAUCUCACCUAAAGCUAAAUAUUGGCGAGAGACCGAUAGCGAACAAGUACCGUGAGGGAAAGAUGAAAAGAACUUUGAAAAGAGAGUUAAACAGUAUGUGAAAUUGUUGAAAGGGAACCGUUUGGAGCCAGACUGGCUGCUCUAUAAUCAAUCUCUGCUUCGGUAGGGAUGCACUUGUAGGGCUUUGGCCUGCCAACAGCAAUUUUUUUUGAAGGAAAAAACCAAGAGGAAUGUGGCCCUUCGGGGUGUUAUAGCCUUUUGGAAAAUACUUUGAAGGGGAUUGAGGACUGCAGCAGAUGCUUUUGGCGAAAUGUGUAGGUGCUUGUGUUAAUGAAGUAUAGAAUUUCUGCCUCGGGUGGUGCUAUGCU
rnacentral:rRNA from 1 species